GUGCCCACUUUGGCAGCAAAUAUACUAAAUUUGGAACAAUACAGAGAAGAUUAGCAAGGCCCCUGUGCAAGGAUGACAUGCAAAUUUGUGAAGCGUUCCAUAUUUUU